rnacentral:misc_RNA from 1 species
GAUGAAGAACGUAGUGAAAUGCGAUAAGUAGUGUGAAUUGCAGAAUUCAGGGAAUCAUCGAAUCUUUGAACGCACAUUGCGCCCUUUGGUAUUCCAAAGGGCAUGCCUGUUCGAGCGUCAUUUGUACCCUCAAGCUUUGCUUGGUGUUGGGCGUCUUGUCUCUAGCUUUGCUGGAGACUCGCCUUAAAGUAAUUGGCAGCCGGCCUACUGGUUUCGGAGCGCAGCACAAGUCGCACUCUCUAUCAGCAAAGGUCUAGCAUCCAUUAAGCCUUUUUUUCAACUUUUGACCUCGGAUCAGGUAGGGAUACCCGCUGAACUUAAGCAUAUCAAUAAGCGGAGGA